GCUGCCACCCAACCCCGGGAGCCCAGCCAAGCGCUGUGUUUUUCCAGGUCCGCGCAGGGCCAGGGGAACCCUGCGUGUUUGUUUGGUGGGAAUGGAUUACUGGAAAGCUAGACGGAAGGUACCCUGUAAACCGGCAGAUCUCUUUAAUGUCUGACUGGAUCCCUUCUGCUUCUACAAUCAGUCUGUUGGGAUAUGUUGUUUUGGUUGAAAAUGUGAAGCCUCAUCCAAAUAUGUCGUUGGAAAAGCAUCCUCAGCCUGUCUUUAUUGACCUGGUUCCAUCGAUCUGUGACUUGGCUCCAUCUCACCUCUUCCAAAAAGCCUUCCUGGAUUAAACUUUACAUCAACCCCAUUUUGAUUUGGCUAA
rnacentral:lncRNA from 1 species